rnacentral:rRNA from 1 species
AUUGAACGCUGGCGGCAGGCCUAACACAUGCAAGUCGAGCGGAUGAAGGGAGCUUGCUCCUGGAUUCAGCGGCGGACGGGUGAGUAAUGCCUAGGAAUCUGCCUGGUAGUGGGGGAUAACGUCCGGAAACGGGCGCUAAUACCGCAUACGUCCUGAGGGAGAAAGUGGGGGAUCUUCGGACCUCACGCUAUCAGAUGAGCCUAGGUCGGAUUAGCUAGUUGGUGGGGUAAAGGCCUACCAAGGCGACGAUCCGUAACUGGUCUGAGAGGAUGAUCAGUCACACUGGGACUGAGACCCGGACCGGAUGCCUAGGGGAGGCAGCAGGGGUGAAUAUUGGAGAAUGGGGGGAGGCAUGAGCCAACAAUGCCGCGUGAGUGAUGAAGCCCUUAGGGUUGGAAAGCUCGUGUACCAGGUCGGAUAAGGACAGUACCUGGAGAAUAAGCCCCGACUAACUCCGUG